AACGCUAGCUACAGGCUUAACACAUGCAAGUCGAGGGGCAUCAGGAAGAAAGCUUGCUUUCUUUGCUGGCGACCGGCGCACGGGUGAGUAACACGUAUCCAACCUGCCCUUUACUCGGGGAUAGCCUUUCGAAAGAAAGAUUAAUACCCGAUAGCAUAAUGAUUCCGCAUGGUUUCAUUAUUAAAGGAUUCCGGUAAAGGAUGGGGAUGCGUUCCAUUAGGUUGUUGGUGAGGUAACGGCCCACCAAGCCUUCGAUGGAUAGGGGUUCUGAGAGGAAGGUCCCCCACAUUGGAACUGAGACACGGUCCAAACUCCUACGGGAGGCAGCAGUGAGGAAUAUUGGUCAAUGGGCGCUAGCCUGAACCAGCCAAGUAGCGUGAAGGAUGAAGGCUCUAUGGGUCGUAAACUUCUUUUAUAUAAGAAUAAAGUGCAGUAUGUAUACUGUUUUGUAUGUAUUAUAUGAAUAAGGAUCGGCUAACUCCGUGCCAGCAGCCGCGGUAAUACGGAGGAUCCGAGCGUUAUCCGGAUUUAUUGGGUUUAAAGGGAGCGUAGGUGGACUGGUAAGUCAGUUGUGAAAGUUUGCGGCUCAACCGUAAAAUUGCAGUUGAUACUGUCAGUCUUGAGUACAGUAGAGGUGGGCGGAAUUCGUGGUGUAGCGGUGAAAUGCUUAGAUAUCACGAAGAACUCCGAUUGCGAAGGCAGCUCACUGGACUGCAACUGACACUGAUGCUCGAAAGUGUGGGUAUCAAACAGGAUUAGAUACCCUGGUAGUCCACACAGUAAACGAUGAAUACUCGCUGUUUGCGAUAUACAGUAAGCGGCCAAGCGAAAGCAUUAAGUAUUCCACCUGGGGAGUACGCCGGCAACGGUGAAACUCAAAGGAAUUGACGGGGGCCCGCACAAGCGGAGGAACAUGUGGUUUAAUUCGAUGAUACGCGAGGAACCUUACCCGGGCUUAAAUUGCAGUGGAAUGAUGUGGAAACAUGUCAGUGAGCAAUCACCGCUGUGAAGGUGCUGCAUGGUUGUCGUCAGCUCGUGCCGUGAGGUGUCGGCUUAAGUGCCAUAACGAGCGCAACCCUUAUCUUUAGUUACUAACAGGUUAUGCUGAGGACUCUAGAGAGACUGCCGUCGUAAGAUGUGAGGAAGGUGGGGAUGACGUCAAAUCAGCACGGCCCUUACGUCCGGGGCUACACACGUGUUACAAUGGGGGGGUACAGAAGGCAGCUAGCGGGUGACCGUAUGCUAAUCCCAAAAUCCUCUCUCAGUUCGGAUCGAAGUCUGCAACCCGACUUCGUGAAGCUGGAUUCGCUAGUAAUCGCGCAUCAGCCACGGCGCGGUGAAUACGUUCCCGGGCCUUGUACACACCGCCCGUCAAGCCAUGGGAGCCGGGGGUACCUGAAGUACGUAACCGCAAGGAUCGUCCUAGGGUAAAACUGGUGACUGGGGC
rnacentral:rRNA from 1 species